ensembl:lncRNA
UGCUGCAAGGUGCCUACUGACAAAGCUGGAGGGAGCCUGUCUGGAAGGGAAAGUUCCCAUGUUAUUACUGUCCUGAAGGCUUUGCUGUGGAUUAGUGACCAUGCAUUCAACAAAUCCUUUAAAUCUUUGUCUGAAGAGAAACUGAAGAAUAUAGACAAAGAAACGUACAGCAUACAGAAAUACCUAAGGUAAAGGAGCUCUACAGAGUUGUUCUAGACUGUUAAUCAGAUGAGCCCUUAUCUGCAUUUAUAUGUUGCUUCUGAAAGAAAAAAAAACUAUGGAUUUGUGAAGCUUAGUGAAACAGUUA